rnacentral:lncRNA from 1 species
AUUUGCUGUUCACCAAGAGAAAGGAGACGUAAAGGAAGCAGAGGAGACAUUUGCUCUCAAGACAGUUAUACUAGGAUAGCUAACAGGAUAAGAAGCACCUCCAAGUUGAAUUGUAAAGUUGCCAAAAGUUCUUCUGCAUGUAAAAUUCUUGCACCCCGAAAAAGAAAGUCUUGCAGGAAACUGAAGAAAAACCCUCUAGGCUGAUCCAUCCUUACAACCUAGAAAAUAAGAGACCACAACGAUGCCCUACUCCUCCGCCAAGACCUCCAGCUUAUUGUCGCAGACGAUCUAAACGACGUAGCUCCAAAACAUGCAAGAGGCCCCGAAGAAGAUGUACGCCCUCGAAAUCUCCUUGUAAAAAGCGCAGUAGAUCUAAUUGCUGUUCUAAGGUAAAUUGCUGUUGUCCCAAGAAAGAUCCGUGUUGUCCUCGAAAAGAUUCUUGCUGUCCUAAAAAAGAUCCUUGUCCCAAGACAGAUUCCUGCUGCCCCAAAAAAGAUCCUUGUUGUCCUCAAAAAGAUUGCUGCUGUCCCAAAAAAGAUCCUUGUUGUCCUCAAAAAGAUUGCUGCUGUCCCAAAAAAGAUCCUUGUUGUCCGCGAAAAGAUUGCUGCUGCCCCAAAAAAGUACCUUGUUGCCCUCAAAAAGAUUCCUGUUGUCCCAAAAAAGAUCCUUGUUGUCCCAAAACAGAUUCCUGCUGCCCCAAAAAAGAUCCUUGUUGCCCUCAAAAAGUUCCCUGUCGCCAGAGAAAAGAAUCCUGCUCUUCUAGAUCUAGAGAGAGACAAAGAAGCUCUUGUACGGAGCAAGCCAACCCUUGUAGGGAGCAAACAAGCUCUUGUAAAGUGCAAACAAGUUGCUGCAAAAUAAGAGCCAAGAGGUCUUGCUCACCUAAAGAGAAAAAACAAGACUGUUUCGAUUUUAGUCCAACCGAAGACUUUGGCUGUGACAAGAUGGAUGCAUGCCAGCCAAAUAAGGAUUUUGCUGUGAUGGAAUGGAUGUAUUCCAGCCCAGGAAAGAUUUUUGUGAUCCUUGCUGCAAUAAUGAUUUUGCUGAAAUAAGUAAAAAGAGGGGGAGGAGAAGGGUCAGAGACUCGGAAAAGCAGAUGAGGCCUCGAAGGCAAAAAGUAAUUAUAUGCCCUUGCCCGGAUCCAUGCAGUGUAAAUUCUGCAAAUCUAAUGCCCAUACUUUGCGAGUAUGAAUCUCCCAUCAAACCCUCCGACAGAAAAAGCUUUAAUAAACCGCCACCUCCUCCUCGACCGCCUCAUCUGCCUUGCCGUCCUAGUGGUGAUCCCCCCGCUUCUGUCUCACAUGAAUCAACUCCUAAGAAUCAUGUCUCCAGAAAAUAUGACUCAAAAGGGAAAGAGUCAUGCAUAAAACCCAAGUCCAGCCAAAAACAACUUAAACAGCUUGAAUUUACUGCCCAACUAGAGUUUGAUCACAAUCUUGAGUCUUGUCCAAAACCCGAGAUCGGUCUGCCAUCAGAGUCCUCUCCGAAACCGGAGCAUUGUCCAAAAUAUGAACUUUAUCCAAAGCCUGAGUCUUAUCUCAAACCCAAGUUGUGUGAGAGGAGUAAGGUGCCAAAUGAUACCAAUCAAGAAAAAACUGGUCCAAGGCCUAACUCGGAAGUCCUGAAGCUGUCCAAUAUCUCAAACUUUAUUCCGAAUGUAUCCCCCAGAGCACAGUUGAAGGUGGAUAUCCAAAUCCCUGGUAUGCGUCCAGAAGGGGGGGCCCAGGCAGGACUUGAGGCACCAGAUGAUGGUGUAAAACAAGUUUUAAAGUUUCAAUUAUGCCCGGAUUGUCAUAAUUUAUUACCUCCCUCGCCAUGUCUGGAUCGUUUUCCAAAAUCAGUCUUGCUCUCGAGGAAACCUAAAUCUAGCGCUUACGGUCUGGAUAUGAAAGUUCGAAAACGUAAACAAAAACCAGGAUCAAGAAAAUGUUUUGAGUUCUGCAAUUGUGUUUCGAAUGCUGCAGAUCCCAGAAACUCUCACUCUUUCACGCAAACCAAACGUAUCUCCCUCCCACAAUCUCAACAACUGACGAAAUCUCCUUCGCCUACACGAAAUCAACAGUCAAGUUUUCAAGAGCGAUUCGAGAAAGCAAUCAGACAGUACUCUGAAGGCAGCGUAAAUGGUUGUAUAAGCAAGAGUAGCACCAGAUUUGGCAGCUCAUCCACAUCUGCAUUAUCAUUGAAAAAUCCACGUCCACUAGGUGCUUUCAAAGUCGGGAAAACCUCUGUCAGCGUUCCUCAUAUGGGAUCUUCUCAACCUCAUUUCCAGUUACACACCAAGGCAUCUCCGCUGGGUCAGAAAAAACAACAACUGUAUUGCCAGGCACAGAAUCGCCCACCAGUCACUGCAUCAAAUCAAGAAGGAGUUUACUCAAAAUGUUUGCUGAGAACUGAGCCAAUCGUUUAUUGCGCGUGCAACAGCGGAUCUUCUUGCCUCAACAAAAGAGUCAGUCAAGGGAAUCAGGGCUCAUGUAGACCUACUGAAAUUGCUCAGAAAGAUGGUGAAGGAGACAAACAACAUGAUAUCCUCACAUCCAGAAGAUCUCUGUUCGGGUCUUUCAGUGGCUCGCCAUCAAAGGAGAUUGCAAAACUCAAAGAGGAAAACAGAAUUACGCUUCCGAUCCAGCCUUGCCUUGGCCUUGAAGCUAACAGUAACGAAACUCAUUCAAAGAAAAGCAAACCUGCUUGUUUUUCAUACAUGGUUCAGUGCUUGAUGCCUAUGUGUACGUUCCCUGAUAAUGAGGCCAACAAAUCUACAGAUCUUCCCUCUAAACCAAGUCUGCGAUCUCGUGGAAAAGAAUGCGAACCUGUCAAAUCAACGCAAAUUAAAGAUUCAAAAGCUCAUAGAUUGAAUGCUCUUAACAUAAGCCUACCUAAGCAUUCAAAUAUGAAAAUUAGUAUUCAGGUUCUACCUGUCAAAGCAUUUUCAAACUCAAAUCUUGUUCGCAGUGCGGAAAUAAAUUCUAAAGAAAAUGCAUCGGAAAAGUCGAAUGAUUGUACACAUGAGUUGAAAACAUCCUCACAAGCAUGCAACCACAGCAUAAAAGCAGAAUCAAAAUGUAAGAAGUUAAACCAUUUUACAUCAAGUUGCAACGAAAGGAUUUCUCAUUUGUAUGGUGAAAAUGAAGCAAUUUUUCAUGAAAAGCCUGUGCUUUUAAGUGUAAGACCUCGUAAAUCUUGCAGUUCAUGUAAUUUGAACGAAACGUCAUCUAGUGUAAAUUUAAAUCUCGAAAAAAACCUGGGAUCUCUCAUCAAUGAUCUUAAAGAAAAAUCCGACAAAGAAAAUUGCAGUAACCAAGUUAGAACUCCUUGUAGCAAAAGGAGUGGAUCUGACAGUCCAAUAAAAAGAGAUGAUCCAAAGAGAAGUGACAAACUCCAAACUAAUGUUGCUGCAAAAUCCAAAAUAAUAAGCAAAUCUAAAGUUGUUCCCCCUCCUAUUCCACCACCACCAGUUUUUCAAAAAGCAACGAAGAACAAGGAAACAGGCACCUCUCCAGAGAAGAAGCAACGUUCAACUAACAAAAACAAAAAAGGCAUUGAGUCUCAGUGGUUCAAAUCAAAGAAAAAUUUUCGAAACUCAAACCAAAUUCUAGAAGUUAGUGAAGACCACAACAGCCUUGCCAAUUCAGUUGGUAUGAAAAAAGCAGGUAAGACGUCCUCAGAGCCAGCAAAACUGCAUGGUACAAGUGAUGUCGUUUGCCAAACAACUUUCAGCUAUUUUCAAAUUCAGGGAGAUCGAUCCGAAGAUUUCUCACGGUGCAAUCAAUCCUGUGCCAUUUGCUGCAAAAGUACAUGUGACAAGAAGUGCAGUACAAAUUUCAAUCAUGUUGAGGACCUUUACUCUAGGCAUGCUGAUAGACAAGCUGCAUGGCAGAUCAAGCGACAAGCUGAGCAGCAGGCUAAAAAAGAGCACGCAAAACUAGCCCCUAGAAAGAACAGAGGCUGCGGUCAAGAAUAUGUCGGCGAAGAGGUUGAUAUUUUCUGUUGCAAUCAUUCUCAAUGUACACCUAGUCUCACAAAUAUGCUGCCGCUCACCAAAUCUGAAAGACAUCGUAAUAAUAAACGUAGGGCUGAGUCAGCACUGAGUGCUCCGGAGGAAUUAAAGAUACGUGAGAAAGGAGGGUCUGAAAUUCUUCACGAAGAUGAGCUCUCAUGUGAGCUGAAUCCCAUUCGAAGCAAUACCAGUUCACCCUGUGUAUCAGCAGCUGAAAGUGCGGAAUGUUUUUUUAAACAAAAAUUCAAUCGGUGCAUCGGAGUUUUAAAAACUCUAGCCCAUCCUCUUGGAACACAGCAAGGUUGACAAGAGCGGUACUCUUUCUUCUCCCCUUUUUUGUGUUGUGUAUAAAAUGUUUUCGUCCUUGACCUUUGUUUUCUUGACUAGGUAUUAAAAUCAAUAUUAUGCUCCAGUAACUAUAUAAUUCGUGUCAAAAUUAAUCAGGCCAGUGUCUGAUCAGAUUUCACAUUUGUAACCUUGUGUUUGGUUGUCCCUGGUCUUAAAAUCAGCGUUAUUCGUGAUUUGCAUCCAACUCAAUUUACUCGUAUUAUAAUUAAACUUCACCAAGUGACUUCCCUCAGUUUAUUCUGUAAUUUGAUUUUGUAUUUACCUCUGACAGUCGCUGAGAUGCGAUGCACAUUUUUAGUUCCAUUUCUAAAAAUAAUUUUAAUUUAUUGAGCAAAGGGGUACGUGCAAAACGGGCCAUUUCACGCUCGUGACGCAUACCAUUGAAACUUGCCCUAUUCAUUCAUCUAACAAUGCCCUAUGUUUUCCCAAAGUUUCAAGUUCCCAAAAAAUUUUGGGGGGAAGUGGCGGGGGGUCAAAGUUGAAAAUCCGCGAAAUUUUUGCGAAUUUUUUACUCGAAAAUUACUAAAUAUUUCGAAAUGCGGUUUAAACGAGCGUUUUCAGCGUGAAAAGAGCUUUCAGAAAAUGUAUAAUAUCAUAGGGUUGCGUCGACUUAAACUCGAGUUACCGCCUCCGAAGCGCCGGAACGCUGAAAAAUGACCCGUUUUCUUGUCACGCUCAGGCCGAUUCCCAAAAUACGUCAUUUUUAAUUUCUUUGAAAAACUGAUAUGUUGUUCCUGACUCUCUAUGGCACCUAUUUGUCUUUACCGCAUCCUGGGGAAAUGUUUUGUUCGCGAGUUAUAAGCGCGGAAAGGAGCGAAAGUCGGGAAAAUCGGCUAUUUUAAACUGCGCGCGGCGACGAAUCAGGAGACAUGUGGCAACAAUGCGAGGUUGGCAGAGGAGUGUGAUUCGCCGAACUGAGCGGGAGGGGGCGUUCUCCUUCUAACCCAUGCGACGCGCGCAGUUCAAAAUAGCCGAUUUUCCCGACUUUCGCUCCUUUCCGCGCUUAUAACUCGCGAACAAAACAUUUCCCCAGGAUGCGGUAAAGACAAAUAGGUGCCAUAGAGAGUCAGGAACAACAUAUCAGUUUUUCAAAGAAAUUAAAAAUGACGUAUUUUGGGAAUCGGCCUGAACGUGACAAGAAAACGGGUCAUUUUUCAGCGUUCCGGCGCUUCGGAGGCGGUAACUCGAGUUUAAGUCGACGCAACCCUAUGAUAUUAUACAUUUUCUGAAAGCUCUUUUCACGCUGAAAACGCUCGUUUAAACCGCAUUUCGAAAUAUUUAGUAAUUUUCGAGUAAAAAAUUCGCAAAAAUUUCGCGGAUUUUCAACUUUGACCCCCCGCCACUUCCCCCCAAAAUUUUUUGGGAACUUGAAACUUUGGGAAAACAUAGGGCAUUGUUGGAUGAAUGAAUAGGGCAAGUUUCAAUGGUAUGCGUCACGAGCGUGAAAUGGCCCGUUUUGCACGUACCCCUUUUCCUUUCUUUCCUUUUAAAAAUCCCUUCUUUAAAAUUAUCUCUGAGGCAUUUCAAUUUUUACUUGUUAUAUUAAAUAACUUUCCGACUGGGAACAUUGAGGAUAAUUUUAAACUCGCUAGAUGUUGUAUUAAUUUUCGUUUAACCAACUCACUCACUUUGUAGGGCAUUGAAUAGGAAAAUUACUUCUGCAAAAAUCAAUGAGACUUUGUUAGCUGUUUUAAUUUUUUAUUUUUUUUUUUUUUAAAAAAGUGCAUUCUUGUGAUAAAUAUCCUAUUUUUGAAUGCAAAUUAGCUAUUUAAUAACUGUACCUAUGCGCUGUUUAUAAUUAAUUUAGUAACUAUAGCUAUAUUUUAACUGUUUUUUAACGAUAAAUACAAUUUUUACAAAUAUUUUUAACUUCUUAUUUUAUAUUUUUUUGACAAAAUUGUUCUACUUAAAAUAUUGAUUGAAAGAUCAACUAAAAAUUCUGAUUUUUCUAGACAAGCCAAAAUUCUAAGAGAAAUAUUUAUUCAUAGAUAUUUUCAAUAUAUUACAACCAUUUGAAGUUAUUAAAAUGCUAUCUCCAACUGUUUCUAAUUACAGAAUUGUGUGAGUCCAUGCCAAAUAAGUUAACACACUUUUAGAGUGCGACUGAGGAGCUGUUGUUUUCAGUUUAGCAGUGAAACUGAAUACAGCAAUAAAGAUGAUGUAUCCUCUGUAGCACUCAAGAAGUGGAUUUUAUUUAGCUGGAACUAUAUUACCAAUUUCCUCCACCACAAGGGUGGUGUAUCAUAGGAAAAGUUUUUUGAGGUAUUCACUCAAGCCGAACUCUUGAAGUACCUACUCUACAAUCUAGUUUUACUUGUAAAUACCUGAUGCACUGCAGCAUGAUCCGACUCACUGAGAUUUUUCAAAUAAUGUCUUGAAAUUUCUAUGUUAUCAAUCGACUUCUAUUGACCAUAGUGGCUGAAUCAUUUCUUGCCAGCAUUAGAUCCUCUGUAUACAUUUUCACUUAACAUAGGUGUCUCAUAAGAGACUACGGGGCUGUGCCCCCUGGCUGCUACGCGGUCCAACCCCCAGAAGGCGCUCUGCACUCUCUUAAUGCCCUCUUUGACAAAAGAACGACCAAAAAAAAUGAAAAGAUUUUCAUGCCCAACUCUCGUUUGUCCAAUCCCCAUGACCGGGAGCGAUUGGACCAAUGAGAAUUGUAUGCCAACCCUCAGGGUGCCCCACCUGACAUCCAAGAAGCCCGCCCCCCCUGGCAUCCAAGGAGACCAACCCCCGGGGGCUGCCCUACCUGACAUCCAAGGAGCCCAACCCACCGGGGGCUACUCCCCUUAGCGUCCAAGGUGCCCAUCCCCCGGCAGGGCUGGAUUAAGGGGGUGGCCACAUGGGCCGCGGCCCAUGGCGGCAAAAUGUAGUGAGCGGCAAAUUUUGAAAUUUUUUUGAAUGUACUUAGGUAUCAAAAAAAGAGAGAGAAAAAUCGGAUUCAGAAAAUUAAUUACAAACGAGAAAAGGCGACAAAAUCUCUCAUUCCCUCUUAGAGUAAAAGUAUAGUAAUUUCUAAUUUUGUCGUUUUUCGGUGAUACAAGAGACCAAACCUUUAAUUAGUCGAGCUAAGAAAGAAACCAAACACGCAAUUUGACCUGAAACGGAGCGGCGCGGCGGUCGGCAUGAAACGCAUAACGCCUACAAGACUGCAUGAAACGCAUAACGCCUACAAGCCUGCAUGAAUACUUCACGCAAUGCGUCAAAGACACUGCGGUCAGCAGCAGUCGGCUUGAAACGCAUAGCGCCUACAAGACUGCAUGAAUACUUCACGCAUUGCGCCAAACAGUGUAGUCAGCAGCGGUCCGGUCGGUGUGAAACGCAUAGCGCCUACAAGUAUGCAUGAAUACUUCACGCAUUGCGCCAACACAGUUUUGAACCAAAGUAACCACUGAUACCACUGUCAUGGACCAAAAGAAUAAAUAUUUAUUCUUAUAUAUUUAAAUAAUAUUUAUUAUUAUCUUGGUCCAUGCAUGACCUGGACCUACCUAUGGGGCCUCCAUUACUUCCGUUUCCGGCGUCAUCGACCAUUGCCAUAAACAUCCGUUUCCU